rnacentral:lncRNA from 1 species
CUGGGAUGGUAAGAGAUGAGGGUGGGAAGGGUGAGUGAGAUGUUAGAGGGCCUUCAGAGCUUGUGAGUCUUGGGAAAUAGGAAGGCCCUGAAGUUUUUUUGAGUGCUCCAUGGUGAAAGCUAGGAACCAUUCAUUAAGCAUUUAUUGUAUCCUCCCCUCACACCCAUGUUGGAUGAGGUUUUUGGAGCUGGGACACAAAAGGUAGGUAACACUCGACCUUGACCUUGAAGGGAUCAUAGUGGAUGUGAGGUGGAUGAGUAAAUGAGGGAAGAUCUGGUGUUGUGGAAUCCGGGGCCCCAGGCAGGAGACUGGUAACCUACCAGAUUGGAGGUCAUGGGUUAGGGUGGAGCCUGUGGGAAUGGGGAGGAAGAGGUAGUACAGAAAGCCACUUUGGCUUGGAAAUAGGACAUGGGGAAGACAAGGUACUGAAUUUUUGAGCCUCAGUGAUUGAAGCAAAAGAAAAAUUAGCAUUCAGACUUUCACGGGGGGAAUCCUAUUUUAUUUGCUUUUGGACAUGUGCUCUUCAAGAUGAUGGCCAGGGCAUUGGGACAGAGAUGUUUAUGGUCAGGCAACUAAAGUUUGCAAUGGAAGUCAGUUCUGGGAAGAGAUUUGGAAGAUAUUGGAUUACAAAGCUUGAAGGUACUUGGUUGCUGAGAAGGUCUGUGGAGUAGAUCCCAGGGCUUAGGGAAUGGGGUGAUACUGUAUGCCUUGUGCUUGUUUAUUACCCCGGGGCUUGCCCAGACUCCUAGACCAGUUUCUGCUGAUCACCCACAUCUGCUACCUAACCACAUCCUUUUUUGAAGUUUGGGGUUUUGUUUUUGUUUUCUCCCUAGUAACUGUGUUCAGGUACUGUUGGAAAAAUAGUCAUAUGUACAUACACUUACCUCUCUAGGCAGUCUCCUUGACCUUUGCCGAACCAUUUGCUUUCAGCCCCAAGUAGUGCUACAGAGAGGUGCCAUAGGUGCUUGGCCUCCCCCAGCCUACUGUUUAUAU